UUGUACUUGCUAGUGACAGGAGCUUUUGGCUUUUUCCUGAAUAUUUUCCAUGUGUGGUGUGUUAAGUGAAGCUUCGAACACGAUUUGGUCGAACGAGCAUAGACGUUUUAUUGAUGUCACUGGUCUUAGUGGACUUUUUAACCGUUUGUAUACCAACACCGAUAUACCUUUCGCUGUACAGCAACUGCUUUAGAACUCAGCGAUCAAGCCACGUUGAAAGACCGGCGAUUUGCGAGAUAUUUCCUGAUGUUUGUGUGGUUCAAGUUGGCAUCGCUGUUUACUCCUACAGACACAGGAUGAAAUGACUAAUUAGCCGUGACCGCGCGAGGAAUCUAUUGAAGUAUAGGCGACAGAAUCUCAUCAUCUUUAGCCUACUCGAGGCAGGAACAAAAACACGGAGAAAAUUCGCUAUUUGCUUAUUUAGUUGAAGGCAUAGUCAUUGUCUGGCAUUUCACGUGACCUGGAUUCCUGUAAUGGGUCGACGAAGCUAUAAACAGUGAGUUAGAGGCAAUCAACAAAUGGCAACAGGAACGACGUCAAGUCGUUCACGUGGAGAAGCAGCUGAGAAGAGUGAAGUCGGGACAGGGCGUGGCUAAAGGGUGGGGCACAGGGUAUGGGUCCGGGAGCAUAGGACAGGAACGAUAAGGAAGGCCAGAGGACUUGGACGAGCUUGCAACUAGAUAGGGAACGACAUUUAACCAACGCUGGCCAUCCAGACAGACGAAAACGACGCGUUGAAAGAAGCACUCAGUUCCACACUGAAGGCCCGAAGAAGAGGACUUGAAAUUUUAUUAAGAGAUGAUGAUCAAACAAAAAAGAUUUUCUUGCAGAAGCUGCGGAGAUAAUUUAGACAGAACUCUGUCCCCAGCUAAUGCAUGCCGUUUGGAAUUUGGGCUUGAUACUACAACCCAAAUGAUAUCAUUAUGUACAUGAUUAAGCCUUCAAUCGAUCAUGUCUGUUUUGUUACGUUCUCUAUUUUGCGGCAAAAAUAGAGGAAAGAAAAUAUUUGCGAGAGACACUUGGAUACCUCCUAACCUUUCUUGCUUGUUCAUAGUUAAUUUAAAUGUUUAAGGUUUCGGUUCUUACCCGAGCGGCUUAAGCGAUAAUCGUU